CGACGGUGAGUAACACGUAUCCAACCUGCCGUCUACUCUUGGACAGCCUUCUGAAAGGAAGAUUAAUACAAGAUGGCAUCAUGAGUCCGCAUGUUCACAUGAUUAAAGGUACUUCCGGUAGACGAUGGGGAUGCGUUCCAUUAGAUAGUAGGCGGGGUAACGGCCCACCUAGUCUUCGAUGGAUAGGGGUUCUGAGAGGAAGGUCCCCCACAUUGGAACUGAGACACGGUCCAA
rnacentral:rRNA from 1 species